rnacentral:tRNA from 1 species
GGGCAUUUGGUCUAGUGGUAUGAUUCUCGCUUCGGGUGCGAGAGGUCCUAAGUUAAGUUCUCGGAAUGCCCC